rnacentral:rRNA from 1 species
UCCACGCCCUAAACUAUGUUGACUAGCCGUUUUGAGUAUCGACCCUCGGAGCGGCGCAGCUAACGCGUUAAGUCAACCGCCUGGGAAGUACGAGCGCAAGCUUAAAACUCAAAGGAAUAGACGGGGACUCGCACAAGCGGAGGAGCAUGAGGUUUAAUUCGAUGGUAAACGAGAAACCUUACCAGGGCUUGAAAUGUUAACGGAAAUCCACCAGAAAUGGAGGAUGUCUCUCAAGGACCGUUAGCGCAGGUGUUGCACGGUUGUCGUCAGCUCGUGUCGUGAGAUGUUCCCUUCAGUGGGGUAACGAGCGCAACCCUCGUCCCGUGUUACAAGUGUCACGGGAGACCGCCCCGCCCUUUGCGCAGGAAGCGUAAAGGGAAGCCGAAUUUCUAAACCCGAAAUACGAAAAACUCGAAAUUCUAAAUCCAAAAUCCUAAACGCGUAAGUGUUUGAAAUUUGGCAUUUAGUCCGCUAUUCGCCGGCUGGCGGAGGCGGAUUGGAGUUUGUUUCGUGCUUCGAGAUUGGGAUUUCGGAUUUCCUUUGUUCGUUUCGUGAACAAAGGGCGGGGAGGAAGGAAAGGAUGACGUCAAAUCAGCGUGACCUUCUGAUGCCCUGGGCUACACUCAUGCUGCAAUGGCCGAUACAAAGGGUUGCCAAACCGUAAGGUGGAGCUAAUCCCAAAAAGUCGGCCUCAGUUCGGAUUGCGGGCUGCAACUCGCCCGCAUGAAGUUGGAUUCGCUAGUAAUCGUGGAUCAGCAGGCCACGGUGAAUACGUUCUCGAGUCUUGUACUCACCGCCCGUCAAGUCAAGGGAGCCGGGAAAGCUUAAAAUGCGCUUCGCGCGUAUCAGGGCUAGCUCGGUGACAUGGGCUAAGUCGUAACAAGGCACGUGUAGCGGAAGCUGUGCGUGGAACAAUUAAACU